GGGGAUGAAAGGAUUUCGACGGGGGUUUUGAACCACGAUAAGCGAGUAGCGGUGCGGAACCGCUAUAAAAUCCGUAGUUUAGAAAUAAACGACAACAAUACAGUUUUAAAAGCUGCUUAAAUAGCAGCCGUCCCUGCAGUGAGCACCGCGGCAUUGUAAGGGGCGUCGAUUAGCGGUGAACGUGAGCAGGCAAGAGCCGUGUAGCCUGCCAUGAACAACAUGGCUACCGUAGAGUCAAGCCUGCCUUUUGGCGUGACUUGAGGGGAAUCUUAAACAAAAGGCUACACUCGUAGAAAGUUAUGGGAAUGGGCUUUCGGACGCGGUUUCGAUUACCGCCAUCUCCACCA
rnacentral:tmRNA from 1 species